rnacentral:rRNA from 1 species
GACGAACGCUGGCGGCGUGCUUAACACAUGCAAGUCGAACGGGUCUGCCCUGUUUUUUGCGGGGUGGGUCGGUGGCGAACGGGUGAGUAACACGUGAGUAACCUGCCCCUCACUUCUGGAUAACCGCUUGAAAGGGUGGCUAAUACGGGGUGUUCUGGCUGUGCCGCAUGGUGUGGCUGGGAAAGAUUCACUUUUGUGGUGUUUUGGUGGGGGAUGGGCUCGCGGCCUAUCAGCUUGUUGGUGGGGUGAUGGCCUGCCAAGGCUUUGACGGGUAGCCGGCCUGAGAGGGUGGGCGGUCACACUGGGAAUGAGAUACGGCCCAGACUCCUGCGGGAGGCAGCAGGGGGGGGUAUUGCACAAUGGGCGGAAGCCUGAUGCAGCGACGUCGCGUGAGGGAUGGAGGCCUUCGGGUUGUGAACCUCUUUCGCCGGUGAAGAAGGUCCUGCUCUUUGUGGUGGGGUUGACGGUAGCCGGGUUAUGAAGCGCCGGCUAACUACGUG